UUGGGAGCUGCCUGCAUCACUACCUCUGCCCAUUGGAGAGGUUGGAGCUCAAGGGAGCAGCUGCUGACUGAGAAAGAACAAAUGCCCCACUGGAUUCCCCAGUAAUCAGUAAUUGGCAUAAUUUUUCCAGUGGGUCAGAAUCAAGAUUACAAUAAUGUGAAGCAGCGGAAGAAAAUCUCCCUGCUGUUAGAAGAAAACAUGGUUAUCCUACCUAUUAGCAGACAAACAUGGAAAUAUUUGAUUUAAUUUAACGUUGACAUAAUUUAAUUUGACUUAAUGCUCUCCCAGGGAACAGUGAUUUCUGAUGUCAGGAACUGCCUUUCCUUUAAGGCACAUGCUUCUUCUUUAGAGGCUAGGAAUUCCAGUACUAUAUUAAAUAAAACAACAAAAGUGACAAAAGAGGGCAUCCUUGCUUUGUUCCAAAUCAUAGAAGAAAAACUUCCAAGUUUUCACCAAAAAGUAGAAAUUUGUAUUCUUACAGAAGAUGAGAGUGUUAAGACCACUGUUCCACGCCGUCAGAACUCAUCUGAGCAUUAUCUGAAGCAACUAUGCCGUCACUUGGGGAAGAUGCCUCAUAACCCUAACAGAGGCCUGACUGAAGUGCGAACGCUGAUCUAAACAAAGCAGUCAGGAACACGCUGGCUAGGAUUCUCCUGACCUCUUCUUUUGUUGCCAUAGUUACCUUUAUCAAUAAAUGUCCAAAGAUGUAACCGAGGCAUUGUUGUCAUAGUUCAUUGGAUGGCAACAAACUGUUAUUGAAUAAAUUAGUGUCCCAAUUAAGAGUCUUUCCUAUUUUUCAGCACCUUUCCAAUCUGUAACAGGUAUUUCCUUUCAAAACACUGACAGAGUGAAAUAAUGUGAACUUCGGUUAGAAAUGAGAAUUCUUGGUGUCAAUUUAAAAUCUUGACACCCAGGAGAAUGAAAAUUGUGAUUUCUACUAAUUAUCCCAUGAGGUUUUGCUAAAAAAGCAUCUGUUUUCUAGCCCUGCACCUUGUAUCCUAACCAAAAUAUAAUUGUCCAUGAUUAAAGCACGGUUGUCUGCCUUCCUGAAUCUUGGGCAUCGGAAGUCAGCUUUCUGCUGCUAAAUCUCCUUUUGGGACAGCUCUCUAGAAGAACUCUGUAGAAAAGUUUGUGUUGCAGAGUUUUGCAUGGAGUUAACUAGCAGACAUUAAAAACACAGGAUAAACUCUGUUGAGUCAGGCACUUUUGACUUUCUGAUAAUUUUUCAAUCUUU
rnacentral:lncRNA from 1 species